AAAAAAAAAAGUAGGUUUAGAGUCAAUCUUUCUCACAGAUUCAUAGCUCUAUGAAUAUAAUAUAAUUUAGUAUAACACUAUACAAAUUCACAGGAACUUUUCCUAGUCUUUCAGACCAGGAAAAAUGCAGUGAAUAAACAUCUCUCCUGAAUUUUGCCCUGCACCAGGACUUCAUUGCCUGAUCCAACACAAAGAGCAUUCCCACUGCCUUACAAAGGUUGAGAUCUGUUAAAAGGUGUUGAAGAAGAUAGAUACAUAAAAGAAUCCUCCAAGAUAAAAAACCUUCCUGGGGCCUUACAAAAAGAAUACAAGAACAAUGAUAUCAUACCUCAAGAAUAACAGAAGUUUUAUAUACCACAUUAUGAGAAUGAGACAAAAAAUGUUAAUAGAAAUAAUAUUUUAAAAUGCAUAAGGAUCUUUUCACUGCUUAUAUUUUCAAUAUAUUGCUGGUGAUAGGAUCUGACUGAAUGAGUUCAUGGGGUAAUGCAUGCAAAUACUUUAGAUGAUUUCACAUUGAAAAGUAUUUAAAUAUUUACAUUGUGUGUAUUGCUUUGAAAAAAAAAUUGUUAUUAAUGAAUACAUACUCUACUGCAGAAUCUUGAACACUAAUGGUGGGUUGAAAUCUGCAUUUAAAUCAUGUUUGAGGUUGGAGCUCAUCCUGUAUGGUCUUAAUAAGCUGUUAAUCUCACUUCCAUUGCUGGAGUCUUCUGCACUUUGGCUACACAAACCAAUAAAAUUUUCCUUUUCUGUCAUUGCUUACAUGACAAGCAUUUGUAAUGUUUUAAAAAUCUUGGAUGAAAUUUGCCUAAUAUAAUAAGUCCUUAUAGAAAAGUUACUGUUCUAAAUGAAAUAUGUGAACAUAUAUGGGAAGCUGAAUGUCACAAAAACCACAGGAUUUCCUUCCAGAGCUUCUGCUAGUAUACAGAUAGGACUGAGCUUGAGUGGUGUGUUUUGUUCAUUAAAGCACGUUUCUAAUUUAAAAUCUUAUUCUGAUACUUCCUCAUGCAUUGGUGCAAAUAGAAAAUACAGUUCAAAUUUAUAACUUCAAUAAGAAGUUACAAGGCAAUGCUCCAAAAGCAAUUCUCAUAAAUAGUUGUAUUUUUAUGCUGCCAUUAUUGCAUAUUUCAUAAUGAAACUUCAAAUAUCUGUGUCUAGACAUGUAAUCUUCUUCAGCAGAGUAAAUAUAGACUGUACACAUACACAUUCAAAAAACACUAUAUUGGAAAAAGAUAAGUAAGUUGGCAAAGUCAAGGAAUACAAAGUUAGGAUAGGAAAUGUCAGAAUUUAGGAACUUAUAACCUCCUAUCAUUUGAAAUUAUUUCAGGAGUUUGAUAUGAGCUGCACUAUUGAUCUAAUAAUCUAUUCCUACUUCACCUGCUUUCAAGCAUAUUGCAAUUUUUUAUUUUUAUUUCAAAAAAUGUGUUCUUCCUUUAAGCGUAUUUUCUACAGCUUAUAUUAAGGUUUUGUUUUUCUAUAGAAUAUAGAGUUGGUCUUAGCUGAUAUGAUCAUUAAUAGAUUGGUAUGACAAUGUGAUCUGUCCUGAUAUCUCUAAUUGUACAAGGCAUCAA